GGCACCACUCUGUGAGAUGGGCAAUGCAGUUAAAUACCAAAAUACUUUUCACAUCAUUUAACACCAGGUGGCUCUAAGCAUAAUCCUGCAUAGGUAGGUAGGUGGAGAUUACUUCUACUCUCAUUAUCUUGUUUUCAAGUUCAUCUGAGAAAAUACAAUGAAUUUAAAGGAAGAAAUAGCGAGAAUUGCAUCAAAAUGUGGAAGC
rnacentral:lncRNA from 1 species